rnacentral:rRNA from 1 species
UACGGAGGGUGCUAGCGUUGUUCGGAAUCACUGGGCGUAAAGCGCGUGUAGGCGGCCCAUUAAGUCUGAUGUGAAAGCCCGGGGCUCACCCCCGGAAGUGCAUUGGAAACUGAUGGGCUGGAGUCCCGGAGAGGAGGGUGGAAUUCCUGGUGUAGCGGUGAAAUGCGCAGAUAUCGGGAGGAACACCAAUGGCGAAGGCAGCUCGCUGGGACGUGACUGACGCUGAGACGCGAAAGCGUGGGGAGCAAACAGG